AAGUGUUCCAGCUCUUUCGGAAUUUGUCUAGCAGGUUUUCUGCUUUUCAUUAGAAAACCCCC
ensembl:snRNA U7 U7 small nuclear RNA